rnacentral:rRNA from 1 species
UACGAAGGGGGCUAGCGUUGUUCGGAAUUACUGGGCGUAAAGCGCGCGCAGGCGGUCUUCCAAGUCAGUGGUGAAAGCCCGGAGCUCAACUCCGGAACUGCCAUUGAAACUGUUGGACUUGAGUACGAGAGAGGUGAGUGGAAUUCCCAGUGUAGAGGUGAAAUUCGUAGAUAUUGGGAAGAACACCGGUGGCGAAGGCGGCUCUCUGGACCACAACUGACGCUGAGGCGCGAAAGCGUGGGGAGCAAACAGG